UACGGAGGGUGCGAGCGUUAUCCGGAUUUACUGGGUUUAAAGGGUGCGUAGGUGGGCAGGUAAGUCAGCGGUGAAAUCUUCGAGCUUAACUCGGAAACUGCCAUUGAUACUAUCUGUCUUGAAUAUCCUGGAGGUGAGCGGAAUAUGUCAUGUAGCGGUGAAAUGCUUAGAUAUGACAUAGAACACCAAUUGCGAAGGCAGCUCACUACGGGAUGAUUGACGCUGAGGCACGAAAGCGUGGGGAUCAAACAGGAUUAGAUACCCUGGUAGUCCACGCCCUAAACGAUGGAUACUCGACAUAUGCGAUACACUGUAUGUGUCUGAGCGAAAGCAUUAAGUAUCCCACCUGGGAAGUACGACCGCAAGGUUG
rnacentral:rRNA from 1 species